rnacentral:ncRNA from 1 species
UCUGUGGAGAGCUAUACAAACUAAAUAAAGUUUAUCCCUUGAGAUAGAUGAUUUAUUUAGAGUUCUGUGAAACAGAAA